GAGAACGCCCUCAGUACCCCCUUAGGGAUGAGGAGCCGGUAUCAGGMACAAUUAUUAGCCCAAGACACCUAGCCAUGCCACACCCACMCGGGCCCCAGCAGUGAUUARCAUUGAACAUAAGCGACAGCUUGAUUCAGUCAGGGUAGAGAGAGCCGGCAAAUCUGGUGCCAGCCGCCGCGGUUACACCACGUGGCUCAAACUGUAUUCUUUCGGCGUAAAGCGUGAUUUAASWGAACACUAAACUAGAGUCAAACUUAAAUUAAGCUGUGAUAAGCUUGUUAUUUAGGAAGCCCUAAAACGAAAGUUACUCUAAUCUCAUCAACUUGAACUUACGACAGCUAGGGCACAAACUGGGAUUAGAUACCCCACUAUGCCUAGCCAUAAACCUUAAACUACUACUCAAUCGCCAGGGAACUACGAGCAAAGCUUAAAACCCAAAGGACUUGACGGUACCCCAUAUCCCCCUAGAGGAGCCUGUCCUGUAAUCGAUGAUCCACGCUAAACCUUACCACUUCUAGUUUAUCAGCCUGUAUACCUCCGUCGUCAGCUUACCGCGUGAGCGACCCCCAGUAAGCUUAAUGGUACUCCACCAAUACGUCAGGUCAAGGUGCAGCAAAUGAAGUGGAAAGAGAUGGGCUACACUUUCUAAAUUAGAAAAUACGAAAGACUUUAUGAAACCUAGUCAAAAGGCGGAUUUAGAAGUAAAAGAGGAUCAGAAUGCCUCUUUUAACCCGGCACUGGGGUGUGUACACACCGCCCGUCACCCUCUUCGAAGCCCAAUUUAUAGUAUUUAACCAACUUACACACCACAGAAGAGGAUUGUCGUAACAUGG
rnacentral:ncRNA from 1 species